UACGUAGGGGGCAAGCGUUGUCCGGAAUUAUUGGGCGUAAAGCGCGCGCAGGCGGCUCUUUAAGUCUGGUGUUUAAUCCCGAGGCUCAACUUCGGGUCGCACUGGAAACUGGGGAGCUUGAGUGCAGAAGAGGAGAGUGGAAUUCCACGUGUAGCGGUGAAAUGCGUAGAUAUGUGGAGGAACACCAGUGGCGAAGGCGACUCUCUGGGCUGUAACUGACGCUGAGGCGCGAAAGCGUGGGGAGCAAACGGG
rnacentral:rRNA from 1 species